UCAAGAAACUUCCACAAUGGGCGAAAGCCUGGUGGAGCGACGUCGCGUGAUGGACGAAGUGCUUCGGCACGUAAACAUCUUUUAUGUGGGAUGAAAUUAUUGACAGUACCACAUGAAUAAGGGGCUCCUAACUCUGUGCCAGCAGGAGCGGUAAUACAGAGGCCCCAAGCGUUAUCCGGAAUCACUGGGCGUAAAGGGUGUCGAGGCGGUUGUAUUAGUCGUUCGUAAAAUCUACGAGCUUAACUUGUAGGCGGCGAACGAAACGGUACGACUUGAGGUUUGGAGAGGUGCGUGGAACUCACGGUGUAGGGGUGAAAUCCGUUGAUAUCGUGGGGAACACCAAAGGCGAAGGCAGCGCACUGGCCAAAAUCUGACGCUCACACACGAAAGCUAGGGUAGCGAAGAGGAUUAGAUACCCCCUGAGCGGGCUGGCAAGGCGCAU
rnacentral:rRNA from 1 species